rnacentral:rRNA from 1 species
UACGUAGGGGGCUAGCGUUGUCCGGAUUUAUUGGGCGUAAAGAGCGUGUAGGCGGCCAGGUAGGUCCGUUGUGAAAACUCGAGGCUCAACCUCGAGACGUCGGCGGAAACCCUCUGGCUAGAGUCCGGAAGAGGAGAGUGGAAUUCCUGGUGUAGCGGUGAAAUGCGCAGAUAUCAGGAAGAACGCCCGUGGCGAAGGCGGCUCUCUGGGACGGUACUGACGCUGAGACGCGAAAUCGUGGGGAGCAAACAGG